AUGAACGCUGGCGGCGUGCCUAAUCCAUGCAAGUCGCGCGAACAGACGAGGAGCUUGCUCCUCUGACGUUAGCGGCGGACGGGUGAGUAACACGUGGAUAACCUACCUAUAAGACUGGGAUAACUUCGGGAAACCGGAGCUAAUACCGGAUAAUAUAUUGAACCGCAUGGUUCAAUAGUGAAAGACGGUUUUGCUGGCACUUAUAGAUGGAUCCGCGCCGCAUUAGCUAGUUGGUAAGGUAACGGCUUACCAAGGCGACGAUGCGUAGCCGACCUGAGAGGGUGAUCGGCCACACUGGAACUGAGACACGGUCCAGACUCCUACGGGAGGCAGCAGUAGGGAAUCUUCCGCAAUGGGCGAAAGCUUGACGGAGCAACGCCGCGUGAGUGAUGAAGGUCUUCGGAUCGUAAAACUCUGUUAUUAGGGAAGAACAAAUGUGUAAGUAACUAUGCACGUCUUGACGGUACCUAAUCAGAAAGCCACGGCUAACUACGUG
rnacentral:rRNA from 1 species